rnacentral:tRNA from 1 species
GUGGCGCCCCCCGGCAGCGCCUGCUCCGCAUUUGCCCCCUUCCAUAGAAAAGGGAAACAGCCCAAAAUGCGAAGCCGACUGCCCGUGCCCCCGCCGCAAGGCGUGUCGGUUCGAUUCCGACCCCGAGCACCA